rnacentral:rRNA from 1 species
UGGGGAAUAUUGGACAAUGGUGGAAACUCUGAUCCAGCAAUUCUGUGUGUGUGAAGAAGGUUUUAGGACUGUAAAACACUUUUAGUAGGGAAGAAAAAAAUGACGGUACCUACAGAAGAAGCAACGGCUAAAUACGUGCCAGCAGCCGCGGUAAUACGUAUGUUGCGAGCGUUAUCCGGAAUUAUUGGGCUUAAAGGGCAUCUAGGCGGUAAGACAAGUUGAAGGUGAAAACCUGUGGCUCAACCAUAGGCUUGCCUACAAAACUGUUGAACUAGAGUACUGGAAAGGUGGGUGGAACUACACGAGUAGAGGUGAAAUUCGUAGAUAUGUGUAGGAAUGCCGAUGAUGAAGAUAACUCACUGGACAGAAACUGACGCUGAAGUGCGAAAGCUAGGGGAGCAAACAGG